CCUACGGGGGGCAGCAGUGGGGAAUAUUGCACAAUGGGCGCAAGCCUGAUGCAGCCAUGCCGCGUGUGUGUAGAAGGCCUUCGGGUUGUAAAGCACUUUCAGCGGGGAGGAAGGCGUUAAGGUUAAUAACCUUGUCGAUUGACGUUACCCGCAGAAGAAGCACCGGCUAACUCCGUGCCAGCAGCCGCGGUAAUACGGAGGGUGCAAGCGUUAAUCGGAAUUACUGGGCGUAAAGCGCACGCAGGCGGUCUGUCAAGUCGGAUGUGAAACCCCCGGGCUCAACCUGGGAACUGCAUUCGAAACUGGCAGGCUAGAGUCUUGUAGAGGGGGGUAGAAUUCCAGGUGUAGCGGUGAAAUGCGUAGAGAUCUGGAGGAAUACCGGUGGCGAAGGCGGCCCCCUGGACAAAGACUGACGCUCAGGUGCGAAAGCGUGGGGAGCAAACAGGAUUAGAUACCCCGGUAGUC
rnacentral:rRNA from 1 species